GACGAACGCUGGCGGCGUGCUUAACACAUGCAAGUCGAACGAGAUCCCAUGUGUAGCCCUCCACAGGAAGAUCUAGUGGCGAACGGGUGAGGAACACGUGAGAAACGUACCCCAGACUUUGGGAUAACAGUCCGAAAGGACUGCUAAUACCAAAUAACGUCGGAAGUCCGCAUGGACAUCUGACGAAAGGGAUUCCGGUUUGGGAGCGUCUCGCGGACCUAUCAGCUAGUUGGAGGGGUAACGGCCCACCAAGGCAACGACGGGUAGCUGGUCUGAGAGGAUGGUCAGCCACACUGGGACUGAGACACGGCCCAGACUCCUACGGGAGGCAGCAGUGGGGAAUCUUGCGCAAUGGGCGAAAGCCUGACGCAGCAACGCCGCGUGCGGGAAGAAGGCUUUCGGGCUGUAAACCGCUUUCAGUAGGAACGAAACUGACGGUACCUACAGAAGAAGGAGCGGCCAACUAUGUG
rnacentral:rRNA from 1 species